UACGUAGGGUGCAAGCGUUAAUCGGAAUUACUGGGCGUAAAGCGUGCGCAGGCGGUUAUGUAAGACAGGUGUGAAAUCCCCGGGCUUAACCUGGGAACUGCAUUUGUGACUGCAUAGCUAGAGUACGGUAGAGGGGGAUGGAAUUCCGCGUGUAGCAGGUGAAAUGCGUAGAUAUGCGGAGGAACACCGAUGGCGAAGGCAAUCCCCUGGACCUGUACUGACGCUCAUGCACGAAAGGCGUGGGGAGCAAACAGG
rnacentral:rRNA from 1 species